rnacentral:rRNA from 1 species
CGCUCGUAGCAUACGGGAGUGCAGACGGGUGAGUAACGCGUGAGGAACAUACCCUCCGGUUCGGAAUAGCUCAGGAAACUUGGAUUAUACCGGAUACGGCUGAGAGGCGAAAGAUUUAUCCGCCGGAGGAUUGGCCCGCGUUCGAUUAGCUUGUUGGUGAGGUAACGGCUCACCAAGGGCGAUGAUCGAUAGCUGGUCUGAGAGGAUGAUCAGCCACAUUGGGACUGAGACACGGUCCAAACUCCAUACGGGAGGCAGCAGUGGGGAAUAUUGGACAAUGGGCGCAAGCCUGAUCCAGCCAUGCCGCGUGAGGGAUGAAGCUUUUCGGAGUGUAAACCCCUUUCGACCCGGAAGAAUGCCCGCAAGGGUUUGACGGUACGGGUAUAAGAAGCCCCGGCUAACUACGUGCCAGCAGCCGCGGUAAUACGUAGGGGGCCAGCGUUGCUCGGAAUUACUGGGCGUAAAGGGUCCGUAGGCGGUGUGGCAAGUCGGGAGUGAAAUCUCUGGGCUUAACCCAGAGGCUGUUCCGAAACUGGCAUGCUAGAGUGUGAGAGAGGCGCAGUGGAAUUACGGGUGUAGCGGUGAAAUG